GAUGAACGCUAGCUACAGGCUUAACACAUGCAAGUCGAGGGGAAACGGCAUUGAGUGCUUGCACUCUUUGGACGUCGACCGGCGCACGGGUGAGUAACGCGUAUCCAACCUUCCCAUUACUGUGGGAUAACCUGCCGAAAGGCAGACUAAUACCGCAUAGUCUUCGAUGACGGCAUCAGAUUUGAAGUAAAGAUUUAUCGGUAAUGGAUGGGGAUGCGUCUGAUUAGCUUGUUGGCGGGGUAACGGCCCACCAAGGCUACGAUCAGUAGGGGUUCUGAGAGGAAGGUCCCCCACAUUGGAACUGAGACACGGUCCAAACUCCUACGGGAGGCAGCAGUGAGGAAGAUUAGUCAAUGGACGGAAGUCUGAACCAGCCAAGUAGCGUGCAGGAGGACGGCCCUAUGGGUUGUAAACUGCUUUUGUAUGGGGAUAAAGUUAGGGACGUGUCCCUAUUUGCAGGUACCAUACGAAUAAGGACCGGCUAAUUCCGUG
rnacentral:rRNA from 1 species